rnacentral:rRNA from 1 species
UCCUCGGAAGACUGUUCAGUAACACGUGGAUAAUCUGCCCUAAGGUGGAGGAUAACCUCGGGAAACUGAGAAUAAUACUCCAUAGAUCUAGAAUGCUGGAAUGCAUCUAGAUUGAAAGUUCCGACGCCUUAGGAUGAAUCUGCGGACUAUCAGGUUGUAGUCAGGGUAAAGGCCUGACUAGCCUACGACGGAUACGGGUUGUGAGAGCAAUAACCCGGAGACGAUAUCUGAGACACGAUAUCGGGCCCUACGGGGCGCAGCAGGCGCGAAACCUUCACACUGUGCGAAAGCACGAUGAGGGGAUCCCAAGUGCUUGCACGUAAGUGUAAGCUGUUUCUAUGUUUAAAGUGCAUAGAGAGUAAGGGCUGGGUAAGACCGGUGCCAGCCGCCGCGGUAAUACCUGCAGCUCGAGUGGUGACCACUAUUAUUGGGCCUAAAACGUCCGUAGCCGGCUUGGUAAAUGCCUGGGUAAAUCGUAUAGCUUAACUAUACGAAUUCCUGGUAGACUGUCAAGCUUGAGACUGGGAGAAGCUAGAGGUACUCCUGGGGUAGAGGUGAAAUUCUGUAAUCCUAGGGGGACCACCAGUGGCGAAGGCGUCUAGCUAGAACAGGUCUGA